UCGCCUGUUUAUCAAAAACAUAGCUUUAUGUAUAAUAUAUUAUAUAAAGUAAUACCUGCCCAGUGAUAAUUUUAACGGCCGCAGUACUUUGACUGUGCUAAGGUAGCAUAAUCAAUUGGCUUUUAAUUGGAGUCUGGAAUGAAUGGAUAAAUGAAUAAUAGCUUUCUUAUUUUAAUUUAAAUUAACUUACUUAAAAGGUGAAAAUUCCUUUAAUAUUUUAAAUAGACGAGAAGACCCUAGGAGUUUUAAAUUUUGUUGGGGCGACAUUAUAGCAUUAUUUAAACCUAUAAUUUAUUUUGAAAUUUAACAAUUUUUAAUUAUUUAAAAUAAACUACCCUAGGGAUAACAGCAUAAUUUAAAAUUAAGUUUGUGACCUCGAUGUUGGACUAGGAAAAUUUAAUAUUAGCUAUAUUAAAAUUUUGUUCUGUUCGAACAUUUAUUCCUACAUGAUCUGAGUUCAAACCGGA
rnacentral:rRNA from 1 species